GGGAAUCUACCGUGCCCUGCGGAAUAGCUCCGGGAAACUGGAAUUAAUACCGCAUACGCCCUACGGGGGAAAGAUUUAUCGGGGUAUGAUGAGCCCGCGUUGGAUUAGCUAGUUGGUGAGGUAAUGGCUCACCAAGGCGACGAUCUUUAGCUGGUCUGAGAGGAUGAUCAGCCACACUGGGACUGAGACACGGCCCAGACUCCUACGGGAGGCAGCAGUGGGGAAUAUUGGACAAUGGGCGCAAGCCUGAUCCAGCCAUGCCGCGUGAGUGAUGAAGGCCUUAGGGUUGUAAAGCUCUUUCAGUGGGGAAGAUAAUGACGGUACCCACAGAAGAAGCCCCGGCUAACUUCGUGCCAGCAGCCGCGGUAAUACGAAGGGGGCUAGCGUUGUUCGGAUUUACUGGGCGUAAAGCGCACGUAGGCGGUUUGUUAAGUCAGGGGUGAAAUCCCAGAGCUCAACUCUGGAACUGCCUUUGAUACUGGCAAGCUCGAGUCCGGAAGAGGUAAGUGGAACUCCUAGU
rnacentral:rRNA from 1 species